AGUGAACGCUGGCGGUAGGCCUAACACAUGCAAGUCGAACGGCAGCACAGUAAUAGCUUGCUCUUACGGGUGGCGAGUGGCGGACGGGUGAUGAAUACAUCGGAAUCUACUUUGUCGUGGGGGAGAACGUAGGGAAACUUACGCUAAUACCGCAUACGACGUACGGGUGAAAGCAUGGGAUCUUCGGACCUUGCGCGAUUGAAUGAGCCGAGGUCGGAUUAGCUAGUUGGCGGGGUAAAGGCCCACCAAGGCGACGAUCCGUAGCUGGUCUGAGAGGAUGAUCAGCCACACUGGAACUGAGACACGGUCCAGACUCCUACGGGAGGCAGCAGUGGGGAAUAUUGGACAAUGGGCGAAAGCCUGAUCCAGCCAUGCCGCGUGGGUGAAGAAGGUCUUCGGAUUGUAAAGCACUUUUGUUUGGAAAGAAAAGCAGCAGGUUAAUACCCCGCUGUUCUGACGGUACCCAAAGAAUAAGCACCGGCUAACUUCGUG
rnacentral:rRNA from 1 species